UGAACGCUGGCGGCAUGCCUUACACAUGCAAGUCGAACGGCAGCGCGGACUUCGGUCUGGCGGCGAGUGGCGAACGGGUGAGUAAUACAUCGGAACGUACCCUGUUGUGGGGGAUAACUAGUCGAAAGAUUAGCUAAUACCGCAUACGACCUGAGGGUGAAAGUGGGGGACCGCAAGGCCUCACGCAGCAGGAGCGGCCGAUGUCUGAUUAGCUAGUUGGUGGGGUAAAGGCCCACCAAGGCGACGAUCCCUAGCUGGUUUGAGAGGAUGAUCAGCCACACUGGGACUGAGACACGGCCCAGACUCCUACGGGAGGCAGCAGUGGGGAAUAUUGCACAAUGGGCGCAAGCCUGAUGCAGCCAUGCCGCGUGUGUGAAGAAGGCCUUCGGGUUGUAAAGCACUUUCAGUAAGGAGGAAAGGUUAAGUGUUAAUAGCACUUAGCUGUGACGUUACUUACAGAAGAAGCACCGGCUAACUCCGUGCCAGCAGCCGCGGUAAUACGGAGGGUGCGAGCGUUAAUCGGAAUUACUGGGCGUAAAGCGUACGCAGGCGGUUUGUUAAGCGAGAUGUGAAAGCCCCGGGCUCAACCUGGGAACUGCAUUUCGAACUGGCAAACUAGAGUGUGAUAGAGGGUGGUAGAAUUUCAGGUGUAGCGGUGAAAUGCGUAGAGAUCUGAAGGAAUACCGAUGGCGAAGGCAGCCACCUGGGUCAACACUGACGCUCAUGUACGAAAGCGUGGGGAACAAACAGGAUUAGAUACCCUGGUA
rnacentral:rRNA from 1 species